GGGAAUGUGGCUUAGUGGUAGAGUGCUUGCCUAGCAUGCAUGAAGCCCUGAGUUCCAUUCCUC
rnacentral:tRNA from 1 species